rnacentral:misc_RNA from 1 species
GAGAGAGAGAGAGAGAGAAUAGAUUGAUGAUAAAAUUCAGAGUGUGGUUCGCAGGAGCUUGUGGAGAGGACUGUAAAUUUGUAAAAGGAUUUAAUUGUUGAACAAAAGAAAAUUCCAAAAUUUUGAAUGACGUACACAAAACGUCAUAUUUCACUGGUUUUGUACAUUAAUCCAUCGAAUUGUAAGAAAAGUUACCCUUAUCAUGAAUACAAUAUAAUAAUUCA